GACGAACGCUGGCGGCGUGCUUAACACAUGCAAGUCGAGCGGUAAGGCUCCUUCGGGAGUACACGAGCGGCGAACGGAUGAGUAACACGUGAGUAAUCUGCCCUUCACUUCGGGAUAACCACCGGAAACGGUGGCUAAUACCGAAUACGACCAGUCUUCGCAUGAGGUGCUGGUGGAAAGUCUUUUCGGUGAAGGAUGUGCUCGCGGCCUAUCAGCUUGUUGGUGGGGUAAUGGCCUACCAAGGCUUCGACGGGUAGCCGGCCUGAGAGGGUGACCGGCCACACUGGGACUGAGACACGGCCCAGACUCCUGCGGGAGGCAGCAGUGGGGAAUAUUGGACAAUGGGCGAAAGCCUGAUCCAGCAACGCCGCGUGAGGGAUGACGGCCUUCGGGUUGUAAACCUCUUUCAGUACCGACGAAGCGCCCUGUCGGGUGGUGACGGUAGGUACAGAAGAAGGACCGGCCAACUACGUG
rnacentral:rRNA from 1 species